GAAUUUUAUUUAUAUGUAAGGAAAUGAGUUAUUUACAGGUGAGAAUUGUUUAGGAGUACCUCCAUUUCUUGGAAGUUGAGUUUAUCAUAUAGCAUUGUAUUUCCUUUUUUUUUUUUUUUCAAUGUGGUAGGAAUCCCAAAUUGGGUCCAAGCUCUGUCCACCACUGGAGAUCAGACUCCCUGGACAAUAUACAGUGAACCUGCUGGGAAGGUCUGCCAGAAGCUGGCCAGCACAAUGACGGUUGCGCCUCCAAGAAGAGAGUCAGUGCUACAGCCUGAGUCAGCCUUGACUGCACUGAGCCACUGCCCAGGCCAAGACAACUGAAUCCCCAGAGGAGAGAGGGCUGGGUGAGAGUGAACUCAGAGGAGAACUUGAAGGCUUCGACCUCAGUUGCCACUCCUGUCAGCUUCACAGCACAUCCCUCUGAAUAAACUUGUCUGAUUGAAUAAUCUUUUGCCCUCU
rnacentral:lncRNA from 1 species